UGUUUCUUAUGGAUAGAAUGACUUUUGAAGUUGAAUCCACAAGGCUAGAAAAAAGCAAUGGCAGAUAUUCAGAAAUCAAUCCAAUGAGUGCUCUGAGAAGGAGAUGUAGAUAAAUUGCAUAAGUUCACCUUUCAUUAUUGGAAACGCCCGUCAUUUUUAUGGCUUUUUGUGAUGAACAACAGUAAGUUGAUAUUAUGGGAAUCAAACUUGGUGAAUUGUAAAGCACACCACCAAGGUAAGACAUUAUUAUUUCCUUAGUACCACAGAAAAGAUAAAGAAAUAACUCUUUGACUAAUAUAAGGAAGACAGUAAAAGGGCAUUUAAGACAUUUGAGCUUUUAGUUGUUGUUAGGAUUCAUUUGCUUGGCUGAUAAGUUAACCUUUAAUAAAAAAAUUUCAUAUAGGAGUUCCCGUCAUA